rnacentral:rRNA from 1 species
GACGUAGGAUGCAAGCGUUUGUCCGGAUUUAUUGGGCGUAAAGAGUUCGUAGGUGGUUUGUUAAGUCUGAUGUUAAAGACUGGGGCUCAACCUCGGGGACUGCAUUGGAUACUGGCAGACUUGAGUGCGGUAGAGGCAAGUGGAAUUCCAGGUGUAGCGGUGAAAUGCGUAGAUAUCUGGAAGAACACCGGUGGCGCAAGCGACUUGCUGGGCCGUAACUGACACUGAGGAACGAAAGCUAGGGGAGCGAAUGGG